AAAUUCACCAUAAAUCUAAAUAUUGUCCUAGAGACUUCCAAUUUCUUUCAAAAGGAAGACAAAUGAUUGAAUAUUACUAUACUGUAAGAGUAUUAGCUUACAAUUGCAGUUUUCGACCAUAUCUGACGAGUUAAAGUUGACCGAAUGUCGAAUUUUUUUAAAUAUAUAUUUUUUAUAUGCAAUUAUUUCGGAAAUAAGAAACGCUACAACCUUCAAAUAUUUUUCGUUUUAUUCUACAUAAAAUUGCCUAAUAUGAAACGGAGCAAAUAUCUUCCGAGAAUGGGACGUACGUAUUUCGGAGAUUUGUGGCGGAGAAUCCGCGCGCGGAGGGAAGGAAAGAUUUUUUUUUAAAUUCACCAUAAAUCUAAAUAUUUUGCUAGAGACUUCGAAUUUGUUUCAAGAUGAAGAUAAAUGACUGAAUAUUACUAGACUGUAAGAGUUUUAGCUUACAAUUGCGUUUUUCGACCAUUUCGGUAGAGUCAAAGUUGACCGAACGUGGUUUUUUUCUAUUUAUCGUGAUUUAUAUGCAAAUAUUUCAAAAAUGAGAAAAGCUACAACCUGCAAUUAUUUUUUGUUGUAUUCUACAUGAAAUUGCGCACAUUUUCAUUCAUAAAACUUUAUGUAACGGCUAAUUUAAAAUGGUGCAAACAUUACCACAAUCGCACGUAUGAUUUUUUCGGAAGAGUUACCGCGAGGACGUAAAGAAAAUGUUAUUUUUUUCAUAAAUUCACCAUAAAUCGAAAUAUUGUGCUAGAGACUUCCAAUUUGUUGCAAAAUGAAGGUAAAUGCUUGAAUAUUACUAGAAUAUAAGCGUUUUAGCUUACAAUUGCGUUUUUCGACCAUUUCGGUAGAGUCAAAGUUGACCGAAGGUUGAAAUUUUGGCAAUUAUCGUUAUAUAUAUGAAAAUAUCUCAAAACUGAUAAAAGCUACAACCAUGGGUUGUUUUUAGUUGUAUUGUGCAUGAAAUUGCGCACAUUUCCAUAUAUGAAACUUUAUAUAACGGCUAAUUUUAAAAUGGUGCAAACAUUACCACAAUCGCAUGUAUGAUUUUUUUCGGAAGAGUUACCGCGCGGACGUAAAGAAAAAGUUUUUUCAUAAAUUCACCAUAAAUCGAAAUAUUGUGCUAGAGACUUCCAAUUAGUUGCAAAAUUAAGGUAAAUGAUUGAAUAUUACUAAAAUAUAAGAGUUUUAGCUUACAAUUGCGUUUUUCGACCAUUUCCGUAAAGUCAAAGUUGACCGAAGGUUGAAAUUUUGGCAAUUAUCGUUAUGUAUAUCAAAAUAUCUCAAAACUGAUAAAAGCUACAAUCAUGUGUAUUUUAUUGUUGUAUUCUACAUAAAAAUGCGCACAUUUCCAUAUAUAAUACUUCAUGUAACGGCUAAUUUACAAUGGUACAAAAAUUACGUCAAAGUGACGAAAUAAUUUCCGAGAUGUGUCACAGAUACUUUUUAGUGCGGCAAGAAAGAAAUUCGCGCUUGCGCGCCUGCGUAACGAUUGUAAACAAAACAACACCUUGAUACCGUGAACUUCCAGCAUCCCCCAAGGCGCGUGAUUCAAAAGUUUUCGGCUGUUAGGCCUAUAAGUAUUUUUCCGCGAAUUUAAAAAAAAACUUUUUAAAGUCGACGUCAAAAUAUGUCCAGUCGGCACACGGGAGACAAAAAAUGUCGACGUAAAAUACGUCCAGUCGGCGUAAGAGGGUAACUAAUAAACCCUUCAGACCAGCCCGAUGAGAGUUGCAGGUGUUAAGUGGGGCUUUGGUUAAACUCUUCAAUAAUAAUAAUAUAUCCUUCAUAGAAUGUAGGCCAAAGGCCAGGCACUGGUACCUAUCAGGUCAUUCAGUGCUGGACAGUAAGAGGGCUUUAAAGGUGUAACAGGAGGAAAACCUGGCAGUUUCACUAUGAAACAUUUGUUAGGGGUGGGUGGAAAGUAGUAUGGAAGAAAGAAAAUAUGAAUGGAGGUACAGUAAAAGGAAUGAAAGAGGUUGCAGCUGAGGUCUGAAAGGACGUUCCGGUUGCAUAGUAAAACCCUUGAGCUUCUGACCAUUGAUAGUUGACCAGAAUCGACUGUAAUAAUGUCAAGAGAAGAAAGUGUUUUCUCAGCCAUCCAAAUUGAUAACUUGAUUUAAAGUGCACAGGCUUAGUAACUUGGGUUGCGUUUUAUAACACUUACAUGUUAGCUUUGUGCGUAUAUGUACAGUACAGGCAGUCCCCGGGUUACGACGGUCUCAGCUUACAACGUUCCGAGGUUACGACGCUUUUCAAUUAUAUUCAUCAGACAUUAUUUCCAGGGUUACGACACAUGUUCCAGGGUUAUGACGCAUGUUCCAGGGUUAUGGCGCCUACAACGCUCAUCUGGCAGAUGAAAUCACCAAAAAUGCAAAAUAAUCAAUAUUUGAAGUUUUUUUAUGAAAAAUGCCAUAAGAAUGCAGUUUACAUAGUUUUCAAUGCACCCAAAGCAUUAAAAGUAAGGUUUUCUUUGGAUUUUUGACAACGUUCCGGCUUACGACGAUUUUCGGCUUACGACGCAUCUCAAGAAUGGAACCCCCGUGUUAACCCGGGGACUGCCUGUAAUUUGAUAAUUGGCUGUGAUGUAUAGUGUUAAUUAGUAGUUGUAAUAAUAUCCAGUGACUUGAGCAGUUUUAAUGUUUUUGUUCUUGACCAGAUCACCAACUCUUAAAGUGAGUAUAAUGUUGUAUGAAAUACUGUAAUUCCUGUUAAAGUAUUUGUUUUAUGCUCUAUAAUGAUUCAUGUGCAAGGAUGCAAAUGUUAUGGCCAGUUUUCUAUGGGAAUUUGAAUGUUAGCCUUAUAUCUUGAAUAUGUUCUAACCUACAUCAUUUGAGCUGUUAUUGAGGAUUGAAUAAAUGUAUUUAGUACAGUCUUCAGAAAUCAUACCAGAAGUACAGUAAUACUGUACAUUAUGUAUAAUAUAAACUAGAGAUAUUUUCAUUAAUUUUUUGGAUUUAAUAAAAUUUUAUAAGACUAACACAGGUAACCUGCUGUAUUGAGGAGGAAUAAUUGAUGAAUCUGCUUUGGAUAAUUUGUAAUCCAUAUCCACAAGUCAUAUGGAGAUUAAUGAUGCGCCAAGAUCCAGUUGCACAGCGCUUACCAUAUUGAGCUGGACAAACUCUCGUGGGUUGUCUUCAAUACUUGCCAAGAAAUGCCUCAAAGGUAACCUGCUGUAUUGAGGAGGAAUUGUUGACAGAUCUGUUUUAGAUAAUUUGUAACCCAUAUCCACAAGUAAUAUGGAUAUUAAUGGUGCGCCAAGAUUGAGUUGCACAGUGCUUACCAUAUUGAGCAGGACAAACUCUUGUGGGCUGUCUUCAAUACUUGCCGGGAAAUGCCUGAAAGGUAACCUGCUGUAUUGAGGAGGACUGAUUGAUGAAUCUGCUUUGGAUAAUUUGUAAUCCAUAUCCAUAAGUAAUAUGGAGAUUAACAGUGCUCCAAGAUCAGUUGCACAGCUCUUACCAUACUGAGCUGGACACACACUUGAGGGCUGUCUUCACUACUUACCAGGAAAUGCCUCUUAAGAUUUAUCCUGCUAGUGCGACCCAGAUAGAGCAAGAGAGAGAGAGAGAGAAAGAGAAACCUAAGUGAUAUAUCAAGAGCAAGAGAGAGAAAGUAACCCAGGUGAAAUCAAGAGAACGAGGAGAGGCAAGAGGAUCGCUGGUAUCCUUCAUAACCUAAAUAAGAAGCCGAUAAUCCAGGGCAUAAAUAAAAAAAAGCUUCUGGACGCACAACUUUAUACACGGAAUUUUUUUUUUGGUGGGGGGUGGGGGCACCUGUUGACGUGGGACCUGGACUGGCUGAGCGGUUUGGAAUGAAUCUCCUAUUGUUAGUUACUCUUUUAUAUUCGUAAUUGUUGUAAUGCUCUGUUAUUCUCAUUGUAAUGCCAUUUCUUUAAGCAAUAAACAAUUUUUCAUAUAAACUGAAUUUUUAUUUCUUCAUAAUUUGAAAGAUGGAGAAACUAUCAAUAUUGGGACAGAGAAACAAAGGAAAAUAUACUGAG